UGGGGGAUAUUGCACAAUGGGCGAAAGCCUGAUGCAGCGACGCCGCGUGGGGGAUGAAGGCUUUCGGGUUGUAAACCUCUUUCGCUAUCGAACAAGGCCCGCUUAGGGUGGGUUGAGGGUAGGUGGAGAAGAAGCGCCGGCUAACUACGUGCCAGCAGCCGCGGUAAUACGUAGGGCGCGAGCGUUGUCCGGAAUUAUUGGGCGUAAAGGGCUUGUAGGCGGCUUGUUGCGCCUGCUGUGAAAACGCGGGGCUUAACGUCGAGCGUGCAGUGGGUACGGGCAGGGUUGAGUGUGGUAGGGGUGACUGGAAUUCCAGGUGUAGCGGUGGAAUGCGCAGAUAUCUGGAGGAACACCGAUGGCGAAGGCAGGUCACUGGGCCAUUACUGACGCUGAGGAGCGAAAGCAUGGGUAGCGAACAGG
rnacentral:rRNA from 1 species